UACAGAGAGUGCAAACGUUGUUCGGAAUUACUGGGCUUAAAGCGCACGUAGGCGGCACCGUAAGUGUCGGGUGAAAUCCCACGGCUCACCCGUGGAACUGCCCGGCAUACUGCGGUGCUAGAGUGUGGUAGGGGAGAGCGGAACUCCUGGUGGAGCGGUGAAAUGCGUAGAUAUCAGGAGGAACACCGGUGGCGAAGGCGGCUCUCUGGUCCACAACUGACGCUGAGGUGCGAAAGCUAGGGGAGCAAACG
rnacentral:rRNA from 1 species